UCCCACCCUGGCAGAGCUGUGUCAGCUGGGUCUGAGGCUCUUUCCUUGGGGCAGCUCCAGGGUGAAGGCAAGCUGCUGUGUGUGGCACCUCUAAAUGCCUUUAGGAAGCUACUGAAAUAGUUUGACUUCAGGAAAAAUGCAGGGGGGAGGACAUGUUGUCAGUGAGAAUGGUUUGCUGCCUCCCGAGUAAAGAAGAAAAAACAGGACCCUGCAAGCCCUGUGCUGGCCAAAGCUUCAGCACAGCCCUGGGUGAGUUCCUGCUUCUUGCAGUGGCAGACUGAAUGUUUGACCUUAACCUUUCAAAAAGGACAGAUUUGGCUUCCUUGCCUCUAUCCCUUGGGUUUCAACUUUCCACAGCCAGAAGAAUGGUUUGGAGCAGUGGAGCUAAGAUUUCCACAGAGGUGCCAGUGCAGGACGAGGCACUGCCUUUGCCAAGCCAAUGUCCUGCUGAUCGUACCAGGGCUCCUCUUCCUCGCUCUGAAACUCCUCCAUCCUGUCGGCGCUCAGCAUUUAGCACCAGCGGCUCGGGGAGACGCGGAGCAUCCGCCGGCGGGGACCCCGCGCCGCCGAGAACGCGGAGCGGGGCUGGUUGCGGGGAUGCGGGCAGGGAUGCGGCCUCGGUGCCCCGGCAGGGAAGCUGGGGGCGGGUGGCACGACGUGGCACCCGGCUCCUCGCUGCUGCCCCGGCUCUGCCUGCCUAGGGAGGGCCUCUUCCUCCUGCCUCCGAGACCAGAGGAGUCUCCGUGGGGAAUGAAGCGGGGACGUGGCGGGGGGGGAGCACGGCUUGCACAGGGCUGGGGGAUGCACAAAGGAAGGAAGAGGGCCCGGCGCAGCCCGGCAGAUCCUCUCUCUGCAGCUCGGUGGAGACCUCUAGCAUGGAAAUGCUGCAAGGAAACCCGGCGAGAGAGAAGGGGGAGGCGAGGCGAGGCCGGCCGCCGCCUCCUCCUCCUCCUCCUCUCCGCCCAGCCCUCCCGCGGAGCUGCAGGGAGUGAGGUUUGGGGAUGGCAAGGUGGGGGUGACUCGGGCUGCACGGAGGACGGAGUUG